rnacentral:tRNA from 1 species
GGUGGCUCAGUGGUAGAGUGCUUGCCUUGCAUGCAUGAGGCGCUGGGUUCAGUUCCUCAGCACCA